GUAAGCCCUGAGGAGGCAGCGUUUUCUGGGCUUCUGUCUGGUUCUCUCUCUCCAGAAGGUUCUGCCGGUUCCCCCAGCUCUGGGUACCCGGCUCUGCAUCGCGUCGCCAUGAUGGGCCAUCGUCCAGUGCUCGUGCUCAAGACGGAGUUUCACCAUGUUGACCAGGCUGGUCUCCAACUGCUGAUGAGCUCAGGUGAUCCGCCCACCUCGGCCUCCCAAAGUGCUGAGAUUACAGGCGUGAGCCACCGCGCCCGGUCCCUUAUUUUUUUCUGAUGAGCACCACCUCCAUUGUCUUCCUUUGGCCAGAACACAAAGCGUGAAUCCGGAAGAAAAGUUCAAUCUGGAAACAUCAAUGCUGCCAAGACUAUUGCAGAUAUCAUCCGAACAUGUUUGGGACCCAAGUCCAUGAUGAAGAUGCUUUUGGACCCAAUGGGAGGCAUUGUGAUGACCAAUGAUGGCAAUGCCAUUCUUCGAGAGAUUCAAGUCCAGCAUCCAGCGGCCAAGUCCAUGAUCGAAAUUAGCCGGACCCAGGAUGAAGAGGUUGGAGAUGGGACCACAUCAGUAAUUAUUCUUGCAGGGGAAAUGCUGUCUGUAGCUGAGCACUUCCUGGAGCAGCAGAUGCACCCAACAGUGGUGAUCAGUGCUUACCGCAAGGCAUUGGAUGAUAUGAUCAGCACCCUAAAGAAAAUAAGUAUCCCAGUCGACAUCAGUGACAGUGAUAUGAUGCUGAACAUCAUCAACAGCUCUAUUACUACCAAAGCCAUCAGUCGGUGGUCAUCUUUGGCUUGCAACAUUGCCCUGGAUGCUGUCAAGAUGGUACAGUUUGAGGAGAAUGGUCGGAAAGAGAUUGACAUAAAAAAAUAUGCAAGAGUGGAAAAGAUACCUGGAGGCAUCAUUGAAGACUCCUGUGUCUUGCGUGGAGUCAUGAUUAACAAGGAUGUGACCCAUCCACGUAUGCGGCGCUAUAUCAAGAACCCUCGCAUUGUGCUGCUGGAUUCUUCUCUGGAAUACAAGAAAGGAGAAAGCCAGACUGACAUUGAGAUUACACGAGAGGAGGACUUCACCCGAAUUCUCCAGAUGGAGGAAGAGUACAUCCAGCAGCUCUGUGAGGACAUUAUCCAACUGAAGCCCGAUGUGGUCAUCACUGAAAAGGGCAUCUCAGAUUUAGCUCAGCACUACCUUAUGCGGGCCAAUAUCACAGCCAUCCGCAGAGUCCGGAAGACAGACAAUAAUCGCAUUGCUAGAGCCUGUGGGGCCCGGAUAGUCAGCCGACCAGAGGAACUGAGAGAAGAUGAUGUUGGAACAGGAGCAGGCCUGUUGGAAAUCAAGAAAAUUGGAGAUGAAUACUUUACUUUCAUCACUGACUGCAAAGACCCCAAGGCCUGCACCAUUCUCCUCCGGGGGGCUAGCAAAGAGAUUCUCUCGGAAGUAGAACGCAACCUCCAGGAUGCCAUGCAAGUGUGUCGCAAUGUUCUCCUGGACCCUCAGCUGGUGCCAGGGGGUGGGGCCUCCGAGAUGGCUGUGGCCCAUGCCUUGACAGAAAAAUCCAAGGCCAUGACUGGUGUGGAACAAUGGCCAUACAGGGCUGUUGCCCAGGCCCUAGAGGUCAUUCCUCGUACCCUGAUCCAGAACUGUGGGGCCAGCACCAUCCGUCUACUUACCUCCCUUCGGGCCAAGCACACCCAGGAGAACUGUGAGACCUGGGGUGUAAAUGGUGAGACGGGUACUUUGGUGGACAUGAAGGAACUGGGCAUAUGGGAGCCAUUGGCUGUGAAGCUGCAGACUUAUAAGACAGCAGUGGAGACGGCAGUUCUGCUACUGCGAAUUGAUGACAUCGUUUCAGGCCACAAAAAGAAAGGCGAUGACCAGAGCCGGCAAGGCGGGGCUCCUGAUGCUGGCCAGGAGUGAGUGCUAGGCAAGGCUACUUCAAUGCACAGAACCAGCAGAGUCUCCCCUUUUCCUGAGCCAGAGUGCCAGGAACACUGUGGACGUCUUUGUUCAGAAGGGAUCAGGUUGGGGGGCAGCCCCCAGUCCCUUUCUGUCCCAGCUCAGUUUUCCAAAAGACACUGACAUGUAAUUCUUCUCUAUUGUAAGGUUUCCAUUUAGUUUGCUUCCGAUGAUUAAAUCUAAGUCAUUUGA